CCCAUCAUUCACAGGUACAGCGACUCCUGGACCCCAUCAUUCACAGGUACAUUGACUCCUGGACCCCAUGAUUCACAGGUACAGCGACUCCUGGACCCCAUGAUUCACAGGUACAGCGACUCCUGGGCAUAGGUUUUGUUUCCGUCUACUUUGGCCCCUUGAUGACUUUGGCCCAAUAGGCCACUCCGCAUCACGUUUUUCAGAAAAUAUUGAUUGGCCUGUAUUCCCUUCUGUCACGAUAACAUCGGUUGGUGCCUGAAGAAUUCUGGGGAUGUCAAUAAUGAAAUGAUGAGUGUCUUCCCAUCCAAGAAGUGCUAGAGCAGCCGAUCUACCUUAUUCAGUUAGCCAGUGAAUAAUCUCCAAUGAAAACACCUGACAACAGCUCAAGGAUUAAUGUGAAGUGACUGGUUGUAAUAUCUGAUAUCAUGGACUCCAUACUCAUCCGGUGUGUGCUAGUUAAAAUACUGUGGAGGCACAAAGUCCUAGGACUGGGCAUCAAAGGUCUGUUGACUUAACAAAUUACCAUAACGACUGCUUAUAUAAGGGGGUACUCUUCUUGGCUAACAUAUCAACUUUAUCAUGAAGGAGUAAUCCAAUGUGUGAUGGGAUCCAUAGCAAUUGCACUUUAAUUCAUUUAUCCCGGAUUUUUGAGUAUCUAUACCUGGCUUCUCCAAUGAGCAUGUUGUUGGAGUCAUGCGAGUCAAGAGCCUUCAAUGAUGACAUAGAAUCAGUAAUGAUUAUAGAUAAGACACAUAUGCAACAGUGCAACCUAACUGUUGCAACCUAACUGUUGCGUAUGUGUCUUAUCUAACAACCUGUCGGUAUUUCAUACCAUUUUGAUGUUCAAUGAUUACAGAGUCAAACUCAGUGUCAUAAGUUAGCUUUAGCGCCAUUAGGAUUGCAAACAAUUUGCAGUGUAGACGCCCAGUUAAUUCUUUUGCCUAUCUCAACAAGUUUAUUACCGUUCUUAACUAGGGAAAUGGCAAUAAGAGCAGAUGCAGCCCUACCAGAAGACUCCUGUUUAGAUCCAUCAGUGUAUAUAACUUGUGAUAAUUUAUUACUACCAGCUAGGCGAGAAAUUUCUUCUUGAGCAGUUGCUUUAACAAGUGAUUUAAGGAAGGGAUUAUUAGCAAUAAGCUUCUUGGGAGGGACUUGCAGGUAUGUGAUAUUAAAUGAACACAUCUUCCAUGGAGGGGUGAAAUGCUCUUGUUGUCUACAGUGAUACAGUUCAUGCAGGUUAUAAAACUUAAUAUAAUUGCACGUUUUCACAAUCCUGUUAGAUCUGUGUAUCUACUUCUAGACAUUUAGUAAGAUUCAUGGUGACAGUGUCUGGUUCAUUUCUUAACAUUCUAACACCGAGUAUAGUGUUAAUCUCAACAAUCCUAUCACUGAUAUUAAGAACCUUUGUUGAUUUGGGACAGCCAAGAAUAAUUCUGAGAGCUUCAUUCUGCAUUAACUCCAAGGGUCGGAGAGAACUCUCCCUAGUUAAUAUCACCAUGGGAGCAACAUAAUCAGUUAAGGACCUAAUAUAAGCUAUGUACAUCAUUCUCACGAUUCUCACAUUAGCACCAUAGUUGUGGUUGUAGCCAGCAACAGCUUUGAGAGCAAUUAGCCUAUCUUUGCAUUUCUUAUUUAGUCGUGGUAUGGUGGAUUUAUUGAAGGGUACGUCUACACCAAGGUAUCUGUAAAUUUAACGUAGCUAAUGUUUUCACCUUGCAAACAGAUGGGUGGGGGAUGUCAUUUGCUUGUCAAUAUCUUUUCCAUUGUAUUUAGCUAUUUUUUUCUAGUAUGUCAUUAUGGAUGAAACGUUUGUACAUUCGAUGAACAUUUAUGAAGUCAUUAAAUUCUCGGAUUCAGUCGCAUUAAAUCAAAUGACGUAAGGUGUGAGAAUAGGUCUGCUUACAAAUGUUUACAUUUAGUAUGAUUACAUCAGUUAAUAUUGCAAACUCCAAUUGGUAUUUGUAGCAUAACCGACGUCAUUCGGUAAUAGCACCCAAAUGUUUGAUGGAUGUACCGUAGACAUGUGGCUCCUGCUAUAUAACAGAAUGAUAGAUGGAAAGACUGGUGUCAGUCUCUCUCUGUUCUGCGAAGUUUAGCUGGAGGUCUCGAACUGCUGGUGGACAGCCAGAAGUUAUAAUCGACUCCCUCCUUGAGAGCAUACACCCAUGUCAACUUAUCAGUUCCAUCGUGGAGUUGAAGGCCAAUGUACGAGGGAAUCUACAGAAGGUGACCUCGAACACUGCUACAGUUUUACCUUAUCUUUGCCUGGCUUCUGACACAAGCAUAUUAUAAUAAUGAAGCUGUCAUUUAGACACGAUAUUCAAAACAGUGAAAGUGCCAGGAUUAUGCUCAUGAAAUUAUUUACAUGCAAGAUGUAUAAAGUAUGAUAUUUUGAAUUGUGGUAGCCCAACUAUUGAAAGUAGCCCUGUGUGGCUACCAUUGCUGUGUUCUACAACUACGGCAUUACCAGCUGCCUUGAUUGGUUUUUGGAGAGAGUCAUCAGUAUGCAUCGUUCGGGAAAGACAAUGUUCUGUGAAAACAUUAUCUAAUAUAAUCUGAAAAACCAUAUUUGACUUCAAGACAUUACAAAAAAUGAAUCCUUAUUUGCAGUUCAGGGGGACUCCUAAGUUACGACUUUCGGUGAAAACCAUGACCAACUUUCUCGUAAAUGAUUAUUUCAUGCAUCAGGGAUCAGGGUCUGAGGGGUCAAACAGCCGAAGUGGUAAUGGGGUAGAAUGGGGACCAAUCCAUGGAGCGCCAUUUCACCUCACCAGAGUAAAGUAUGUAUAACGUCCUGGUUCAUAGUUUACUUUCAGCACUCAGUGCAUCUAGAUGCAGUGGUUUCCCAGUGUUCACUCCUAGCAUAAGGAGGUGGAGUAGCUAUGGUGUCGUCCAGGCUACGUAGGGGUCCCGGAAAGUAAGAGAGUAAUAGCAAACGACUGUUAUAUCCACAAUGUUGUAUAGUGUAUAUGCAGUCACGUGACUAUCAGUUGUGUCUACCAUGUCGCUGGUAUGUUACGCGUUUUCUUUCAGUGGCCAUUUUAUUUACGAGGAAGUGCUAAAGCCGUAGGGGGUCAAAUAGAUCCUUGGAGAACUGGAGAUAAUUAUGAUUGAUCCAAGAAAAAGAACAGUUCUAAUUCCUUGGAUCAAGAGCCCCUCACCGGCGUUAAGGUACCUCUCCAAGGUUAGUUUUUCUUUACACGAUAAGAGAUACGUUUUUUUCGGAUUUUUAACCCGGGGGAGGGUUAACUACCCAAGAUAACUCGAUAAAGUCAGUGCGUCAUCGAGAAUUCUGUCUUAUUUCCACUGGGGUCCUUAAUCUUGCCCCCCAGGAUGUGACUCCACACCAGUCACCUAACACCCAGGUACCUCCUUACUGCUAGGUGAACAGGGGCAGCAGGCGUAAGGAAACAUGCCCAGCGUUUCCACCCAUAUCUGGGAUUAAACCACGGACACUCGGAAUGUGAGGUGAGUGCGUUACCAACCGAGCCACAGGACACCAGCCAGCAUAGGCCGUGAUAAAGCUACAAGUGUUAAGCCAAACAUUAGUAUACACAAAUGGAAUUUAAAAAUCAUGUAGAGCUGUAACUAACCCCUCGAAUGAGCUACUUUCCUGUUGAGGGGCUCUUCAUCCAAGGAAUUGAACCUGUACUCCCUUUAAUUUCAUCAAACCUGAUUACCUCCUGUUGCUCUAGGCGCUGACUCCUGCGGGUUUGGUGCUUCCCAAUAAAUAUAACCGUAAGUAAGCCUACAAAUAUGAAACUACAGACAGUUUAAUUACCUAUGACUGCUUAACUAUGUAACUUGUGAACAGUCUGAGGGUUGAAUAUAUCAAUAUUUUGUUAUGAGGCCAGACAUGUGCACAAAUUGACGACAAAGGGGUUAAAAUUAAACUUAUGGAGUUCCUAACAUAGGCCUCCAGGAGCAUGGUACACUCGAUAACUUGGCUAAAUUACAAUUAAACCCGAAAAUUAUUGAAUUUUGUUUAUAAGCUCCUUCUCAGCACGUAUGCCGUAUUCUAUUCAAGAUUGAUGGACUGACCACAUCGACUCAAGGUUGAGGGACUGAUUACCUCAUUCUCCUCCUGUUCUUCAAGUUUCUCCUUUGUAUGGACUGAUGAAGCCACUGUGUGGCGAAACGUUUCCUCAAUAAAGAUACCCAAGAGUUGCACAUGU